rnacentral:sRNA from 1 species
UUCCAGAGAGGAGCUGGCGCCUCAGGCCAUACCUGGGCUAUGACUGGAUUGCAGGGUCUCUGGACACCAGCUCUUCCAUCACCAGCCAGCCUGAGGCCUUCUUCUCGAAGCUGCAGGAGUUUCGGGAAACCAACAAGGAGGAGUGUAUCUGCAGCCAUCCUGAACCCCAGUUGCUAGGCCUGCGUGAGAGCAGUGGCAGCGGCGUGGAGGAAGACCAUGAAUGUGAGUGCGGGCCCUCGGCUGCUGAGUAGUCCAGCCUCGCACUGCCCUGGCCUCCCCUGCCCCGGAGCAGUCCCAUUUGAGGUUUGGGGCCUGGGGAGGCCCCUGAGAUGUUGAGACUCAUGGAGGGAGGCCUGCAGUCUGGACAGGGUGGCCAAGCCCUGGUAGGGGUGGAGUGAGCUAAGGCCUGGCCACCGAAUUAGGGGCUGCCCUGUGUGGCACCAUCCCACCCUCCCCAGCAGUGCCCCUGUGCUGGUGGGACUCCAUCCCAGCUCCUGAGAGCCCCAGGAGGAUGUCCCUCCCCACCCCUUAGGGCGUGGGCCCCAGGUUCUGGGAGGAAAGGGGUUAGGAGGAAAUGGGCCAAAGGGCUUCCCAGAGGGAUUGGCAGCUUGUGUGGUUGGGGGCCGCUGAGGGCAGCACGGAGCCUGGGGACCUGGGUUCCUGGCUCAAGGAGAGCUGUGGCUUCUCAUGGGCCUCGCAGGCGUGUACUGUUACCGUGUCAACCGGCGCCUGUUCCCGGUGCCUGUGGAUCCCGGUACCCCCUGCCGCCUGUGCAGGACACCGCGAGACCAGCAGGGCCCUGGGACCCUGGCGCAGCCAGCGCAGGUCAGGGUGAGCAUCCCGCUGUCGAUCCUGGAGCCCCCGCACCGGUACCACAUCCACCGGCGAAAGAGCUUUGACGCCUCUGACACACUGGCCCUGCCCCGGCACUGCCUGCUGGGCUGGGACAUUUUUCCUCCGAAGUCUGAGAAAAGCUCAGCCCCCAGGAACCUGGACCUCUGGUCCUCUGUCUCCGCUGAGGCCCAGCACCAGAAGCUGUCAGGCACCAGCAGCCCUUUUCACCCGGCCUCACCAAUGCAGGUGCUGCCCCCAAUCCCGACCUGGUCAGUGCCCCAGGUCCCUCAGCCCCACGUCCCACGGCAGAAGCCCUGAGGACUGACUCCUGGGGGAGAACAGCAUUCCCACCGCCUGCAGCCUCUCCCCUCUGGCAGGCGCACCCAGGAGAUGGAAUCCCCUGCCCGCCCAGCUCAGGCCCGGCUGUCCUAGGUUGGGCAGGUGGGUGGACCCAGGCUUGUCUGCUGCCUGAGUUCCAGAGAGGGAGGACCCUGGGGUGGAGGGUGAGGGAUUCUGUGGAAGUUUGUAAAUAAAGCUCAGUGCUCUGCAGCUC